UAAUGACAGUUGCCUGACAUAUGCACACCCCUUCAAGUAAAAUGUUACCCAAAUCAGUCCUACAAGAACGUUUUAAGGACAAAAACCUGACAAACGUCUUGAGUGACAGCAUCUAAACAAUGUUUUUUAGGUGUGGUAUCCGUAGUAUAAGCAGAAUAAUUGACUCCAAAAUAAUUAUGGCAUGUCUGCAAUUAUUUCUCACAUAAUUCUCUAAUUAUAGAAUGUAAUUUCAUAUUUAUAAAUAUUAUUUUAUGUUGAUGUUACAAAACAUAAUUGCAGUAAACUAGAAUCAAACAUUAUAUUUUUAACAUUAGUUUUUACAGUAUCCUAUUUAAUCCUAUGCUUUUUGUCCUCCAAAAUCAGCUGAAAGUGAUAUAAGCUCUGAUGAAGAUAGUCCAUCUUCUAACAGCGAAAUAGCCAGAAAUGAGACAGCGGACGCCUGGUCUGACCACAGGAACAGGAUCUUUCUUCUGCUCUCGGCAGCUUCUCCACUUCUGACGCUGGUUUUGGUGAUCUGGAGGAUUAUACAAAAACACAAUUUGCCCACACAAGGACGAGACGUCUGUCCUGAG